AUUGAACGCUGGCGGCAGACCUAACACAUGCAAGUCGAACGAGCGGCGGACGGGUGAGUAAUGUCUGGGGAUCUGCCUGAUGGAGGGGGAUAACUACUGGAAACGGUAGCUAAUACCGCAUACCAUCAGAUGAACCCAUAUGGGAUUAGCUUGUAGGUGGGGUAACGGCUCACCUAGGCGACGAUCCCUAGCUGGUCUGAGAGGAUGAUCAGCCACACUGGAACUGAGACACGGCCCAGACUCCUACGGUAGGCAGCAGUGGGGAAUAUUGCACAAUGGGCGCAAGCCUGAUGCAGCCAUGCCGCGUGUAUGAAGAAGGCCUUCGGGUUGUAAAGUACUUUCAGUCGGGAGGCGUUACCGGCAGAAGAAGCACCGGCUAACUCCGUGCCAGCCGCCGCGGUAAUUC
rnacentral:rRNA from 1 species